rnacentral:rRNA from 1 species
GGUAAUUCUGGGCAGUCAGCCGGGUUAGUACAGUGGUGGCGAGGGUGAUUCGGGUUUACUGUGCGUAAGGAGCGCGUAGGUGGUUAUUUAAGUCAAAUGGUAUAUCCCCGAGCUGAACUUGGGAAAUGCAUUCGAUACUGGUUAGCUAGAGUAUGGGAGAGGAUGGUAGAAUUCCAGGUGUAGCGUUGAAAUGCGUAGAGAUCUGGAGGAAUACCGAUGGCGGAGGCAGCCAUCUGGCCUAAUACUGACACUGAGGUGCGAAAGCAUGGGGAGCAAACAGGAUUAGAUACCCGUGUAGUC